rnacentral:misc_RNA from 1 species
GAUGAAGAACGUAGCGAAAUGCGAUAAGUAGUGUGAAUUGCAGAAUUCAGUGAAUCAUCGAAUCUUUGAACGCACAUUGCGCCCUUUGGUAUUCCUUAGGGCAUGCCUGUUCGAGCGUCAUUUAAACCUUCAAGCUAAGCUUGGUGUUGGGUGACUGUCCGCUUCACGGCGGACUCGCCUCAAAAUUAUUGGCGGCCGGUACAUUGGCUUCGAGCGCAGCAGAAACGCGAACUCGGGCCCGUCGUAUUGGCUCCCAGAAGCUAUCUUCACAAUUUUGACCUCGGAUCAGGUAGGGAUACUCGCUGAACUUAAGCAUAUCAAUAAGCGGAGGA